rnacentral:rRNA from 1 species
GAUGAACGCUAGCUAUAGGCUUAACACAUGCAAGUCGAGGGGAAACGGCAUUAUGUGCUUGCACAUUUUGGACGUCGACCGGCGCACGGGUGAGUAUCGCGUAUCCAACCUGCCCUUUACUUGGGGAUACCCCGUUGAAAGACGGCCUAAUACCCGAUGUAAUUCAUUGAUGGCAUCAGAUAUGAAUAAAAGAUUUAUCGGUAAAGGAUGGGGAUGCGUCUGAUUAGCUUGUUGGUGAGGUAAAGGCUCACCAAGGCGACGAUCAGUAGGGGUUCUGAGAGGAAGGUCCCCCACAUUGGAACUGAGACACGGUCCAAACUCCUACGGGAGGCAGCAGUGAGGAAUAUUGGUCAAUGGACGGAAGUCUGAACCAGCCAAGUAGCGUGCAGGAAGACGGCCCUAUGGGUUGUAAACUGCUUUUAUACGAGAAUAAUUUGAUGCACGUGUGCGUUAUUGCAUGUAUCGUAUGAAUAAGGACCGGCUAAUUCCGUGCCAGCAGCCGCGGUAAUACGGAAGGUCCAGGCGUUAUCCGGAUUUAUUGGGUUUAAAGGGAGUGUAGGCGGUUUGUUAAGCGUGUUGUGAAAUUUAGAUGCUCAACAUUUAACUUGCAGCGCGAACUGUCAGACUUGAGUACACGCAACGUAUGCGGAAUUCAUGGUGUAGUGGUGAAAUGCUUAGAUAUCAUGAAGAACUCCGAUUGCGAAGGCAGCAUACGGGAGUGUAACUGACGCUUAAGCUCGAAGGUGCGGGUAUCGAACAGG